AUUUGUAUGCGGAAACGAGAGGAAGAAAGGAUCGAGUGGUCGCUAACUAUCUCUGUUGCAAUAAAUUUGGGAAUACGCAUUUUAAUAAAUGGAUGAUCACGCGUAUUAUAACACAAGAGAAAGGAAGUAUGUCAAAGAAGUGCAAACGGGGAAACUUUACGACAACGGCAGAAAACAAGGAUCAACACUGAUGUCUCUCCCAGAUGGAAGUCGCUGAUGAGGGACAAAUGUUUUCAGAUGAGGCCGAAGUCGCCUGCUUUCAGCUGAACAGACACCAUGGCUGGCAUCCUUCACCCUGUUUGUGGCAUUUGCAUCUUGACUAUGGAGAGCUGCUGACGUGAGCACCAUGAAGACCUGGAAGGGACUGGCUGCAGAGAGACUGCUACAAAGCUCUAAUGGACAUCGUUCUCAACAAGGGUUGACAGAGGUUCAGGUAAAGUGCUGCCAUGGUUAACACAGAUGUACAUUAUGACUAUUAGUGAUUAUUUGUAACAUUAUAUACAUAUAUUUAUUGACCAAUCAUAUCAGCUGCAGACCCAGAGGCCUCCCAGAGUCAUAUUGUGAUGAAUGCCAUUAAGUGCUAAACUUUCAGUCCCCCAGUUUAUGAGGCAAGAGUUCUGCUUGCUGCUCUGGACUACAAUUUCCACCAGAACCCACCAACAGUGAAAACAGCAGAGGGCAAAGACAUUUUGAAAAGGCUGCACAAGAAAAACAUUAGAAGAUACAGUGUCUACACCCCGAAAUCUGAAAAAGCUAUGGAUACAUCACCAAGUUGCAAGGAGGGAUUGUGAGGAGAAGAAUCUCAAGUGGAGUUGGGAUGCCUUGAAGGAGGCCAGCCUUUGGCUGGAGGACCCCAGAGGGCUUGGUUUGGUACCCCACACACCUGCAUCAUCUACAUCAGAAUUGGUGCAGACCCACGUCAGGAGAGGUCAAGGAAAGUAUUAUUGUAGCAUAUUAAUUUAUCCUGUAAGUCAUUCUCUUGGUGAAAGAGCAUUAUUUUGACCAAAGUGUAUAGAACAAUAAAAAUAAUAUUCUCACUAAAUGUGU